rnacentral:rRNA from 1 species
GAUGAACGCUGGCGGCGUGCCUAAUACAUGCAAGUCGAGCGAACGGACGAGAAGCUUGCUUCUCUGAUGUUAGCGGCGGACGGGUGAGUAACACGUGGAUAACCUACCUAUAAGACUGGGAUAACUUCGGGAAACCGGAGCUAAUACCGGAUGAUAUUUUGAACCGCAUGGUUCAAAAGUGAAAGACGGUCUUGCUGUCACUUAUAGAUGGAUCCGCGCUGCAUUAGCUAGUUGGUAAGGUAACGGCUUACCAAGGCAACGAUGCAUAGCCGACCUGAGAGGGUGAUCCGCCACACUGGAACUGAGACACGGUCCAGACUCCUACGGGAGGCCGCAGUAGGGAAUCUUCCGCAAUGGGCGAAAGCCUGACGGAGCCACGCCGCGUGAGUGAUGAAGGUCUUCGGAUCGUAAAACUCUGUUAUUAGGGAAGAACAUAUGUGUAAGUAACUGUGCACAUCUUGACGGUACCUAAUCAGAAAGCCACGGCUAACUACGUG